rnacentral:rRNA from 1 species
GACGAACGCUGGCGGCGUGCUUAACACAUGCAAGUCGAACGAGUGGCGAACGGGUGAGUAAUAUGUGGGAACCUGCCCUCCUUUUUGGGAUAAGCCUUUGAAACGGGGUCUAAUACCGAAUAGUGAAGGGUGUGCUCGGGGCGUAUCAACUUGUUGGUGGGGUGAUGGGCUACCAAGGCGGUGCCGGGUAGCCGGCCUGAGAGGGUGACCGGCCACACUGGAACUGAGACACGGUCCAGACUCCUACGGGAGGCAGCAGUGGGGAAUAUUGCACAAUGGGCGCAAGCCUGAUGCAGCCAUGCCGCGUGUUGAGAAGGCCUUCGGGUUGUAAAGCACUUUCAGCGAGGAGGCGUUACUCGCAGAAGAAGCACCGGCUAACUCCGUGCCAGCAGCCGCGGUAAUUC